AGCUCGUGAUUGGCCGGCAGCCGAGAGCAAGGGGGGAAGCGAAUUGCAUCAGACGUGGGGUCUGCGGCCGGGGGGCGCCGGCGCGCGGCGAGGCCGCGACGGGCUGUGAGGGGCCGGGCGCGAUGGCCGCAGUGGGGUGGGCAGUUAGUCGGAGAGGCAGCGAGCAGGGUCUGGCGUGGCGGUGCAGCUGAAGCCCCUUUGUGGUCCCCUCCCCGCGGCCGGUUUGUCACAAGGAGAAUCGUGGGGAACGCAAGUGCCAAAAACGGAACUUCAGCAGAUGCCAUGAGAAUGGGCUAAAAAUGGGCUAAAAAGAACAAAAAAGCAGAGAGUUGUUGGAUUCAAUCCUGUGAUCCACAUGACUCCAGAAUGCUUCUCACCCUGCCUUUCACCCACUGGGGGUUCAGCACUACCACCAAGGAUGUGCCAACGAGGAUACUGUUGGCUGUCCUGCCAGAAACCACAUUAAUUCCUGCUAACAUAGCUUUAUGUUGUAUGUUCCAGGUGGCCAACCCACCAGAGGAAAUAGGUGUGUUUAACAAAGGUGGAGAGGCUUUGCCCUUGUGUAAUAUCAGAUACAGAGAAAAAAACAUGUGUUGAAUGUUAUCUAUGUAUGAAAAAAGGGGGUAUAGAAGAGGGAAAUUAAAUGGAAGAAGGGGGUGUAGAGAAAAGAUUAACUGACAAUCAUAGUCUGAGAAAGAGCUUGUUUGUUGAAUGUGUGUCUGAAAAUACUUGGAAAGUGGCCUGGGGCCCCAAGCUUGUGACAACAGCUGGAAUAUUCCCAGAUUGGUAUCAAUAGCUGAUUAAAUGAGAAGGGGAACUGUUUUGCUGCCUAAAAUGAGGUCUGGAAUAACUUAUUUUACUUAUUCUUAAAUUUCAUCAUUACACAUUGGGAUUCAGGAGUACAUCUUUCAAAGUCUUAGUGCUCCUUAUUUCAGGGGAUAUGCAGAAUCUGUAUCCUCCACCUCCUGCAUGGGAGCUGCCACUCAGUCUGCAUGCAGUUGGAAGCGACGUUGGCUGUGCCUUCUCUUAACGCUGCUGCAAGCAGGUCCUUCAGAAGGUGAUAUUUUGCUCAGCUCAGCUAUAAUAUUUUGUGUCUGUAAUUCCUUUUUUCAUUGCUACAGAAUACAAAAUGGCAGAUUUUUCUUCAAACAGCCUAAUGACACAUUGUCUCUUUUUGGAGUGAUAACAGUAAAUUUAAGAUCAAGGAACCUGUAUAAAGAGCUCAGUGUUCCUUGCAUCUCUGUGGUAUCUUUUCUUCCCUGAUUUUCACUUGCAUUGUAAUUCCAGUUUGCUUCAUUUUGUUAGUCUUCUCUGAAACUCAAGAACUCACUCGUCUCAAGACUAGAAGUUACCUAACAUGUAUAAUUUUGUAGCAGUUGCAAUUUUCUGCCAAUGUAUUACUUUUUCCAGAAAACUGGCAUGCUUAUUAAACAGCAGAGGUCUCAGUAUAGAGGCAGCCUCCUAAUCCCCCUCCCACUGUCACAGAAUGCUGAUUAUAAAGGGAAGGUAUACCUGCUUACAAGGACAUUGCCAUAAUUGAGAUAAAGAUCUCUUGAUUUGAUUUGUUCUGCCAGGCAGAGAACAAAUUUCUCUUGCACAUUCAGAGCUUGGAGCACACCACUCAUGGGAAUUUAAAGGAAGACAAGAUAUCUACAUCCCAGCAAACGGAAAGGCUUGGCAAUCCUGCACUGCCAGUUCUGUAAAAGUGAAAUGUUACUGGAAGUCUCUGCAAACAUUAGUCUUGUAAACAGAUCUUUAUCUGUAGUGACUGGAUGUCCUUGGGAAGAUUUACACCAUCUGCCAGUCCCUGAGAGACUCCACCUGGGAAUCAAACAGCUUUAGGUCAGCUGGCCAGAGAAAUGGGCUCAGGUCAGGGAAUCUGUUUGGUGGGCACCACAGCUAGUUGAUCUUUGGAGGAAUCCCGGAGGUCGAGGGAGGUUGUGGUUGUUCAUUGUCAUUAAGGCUUUGCUUGGUUGUUCUGGCUUCUGCUUCCAAUCAACUUGCUCAAAGUUUGAGCCCAUCCUCUUCCCACACCGUUCCUCUAUCCUUGACUCUACUUCAUUGCAUGGAUUCCCUUUCCCUUUAAAAGGUCUAACUGUUGGCAUCUCUGGUGCUUGGCUGUAGUUUAUCUGAUUGUAAUUUGUGUGUGUAGUCCUACUUUAGCUCUUUGGUUCUUCUCUUCCUAGCUUAGUCCCAAGCACAGUGUUCCCCUGCAAAGUUCUCUCAUUAUGCUGGCAGGAAAAUGGAAGGUGCCACAAGAGUUGUUCAUGGAGAGGUGUUGUGCUCACCUGUAUAUACUGAUGCAUGGUGAUACACUAGAGGUGUUAGUGACAAAUAAAAGACAAAAGGCAAAGGUGCUACACUUGGUUGAGAUGACGCAGCGAGUGCAUCAUUGUGGGUGAUGCUGUAGAAUAUGCUUGGGCAGUACAGGAGAGAGUGUGCUGUGCCAGGGAGCCAACAGCACUGUUCUGAGUUCUGUGUCAGUGUUUCACAUGUUGAAUAAGCUCUCAGAGGAAAACAGGUAACUGCCUAAAAGCUCCCAUUCCAGUAAGUUUUUCAGUUUGCACAUCCUGGUUCAGGAGUUGGAAAAUACUCCAUGAGGUCAACAACCGUGGUUACGAAAACUUGAUGGCUACUUCCUGUUGGCAGAAGCUUUUCUUUGGAACAGUGCCAGCGUUUGAAAGGAAAAACCUUUUAUUAUUUCUUAGUCAUUCCCUAGGCUUUGAAAUUCCUUUAGAAAUUCAGAGCCCCUGAGAGUCCUGGCAACUUUCUUGUUUUGUAAUUUUGAAGUUAUCUCCUUAUAUUCUUCCAUUUGGGUGCCCUUUGUACACAGAAGCCUGCCUCCAGCUGUCACGAGACCCUGUGUGAAAAGAGGAAAUUAUCAGGAAAUGUCAAGUUAGGAAUCAGUUCUGUCUCAGCACAGGCUCAGCAGGACCCAAAAUGUGGGGGAUAUUGUCAGAAUCAUCCAUCUCCUGCCUCGUACAGUUUCAACUUUCUGACUGCUCAGAGGGCACAGGGUAGCAGCUGGUGUUAGAGAGGGACGAGUCUAUCAUGCUUUCUUUCUGGUAGCCUCACUGAUUUGCUCUGUUAGCACUGACUUUAAUGAUAACACUUACGUAAAUGGACAGGGACAGUUAAAGCCCUUUAUAUACUAAUUAAAUGGAUCACAUGGUAGCACUUAAAUGUGGAAAAUGAGUGUUUUAAGGUGAUUAAUUAAAAGUGCCAGUCAGAUCUUGUAACUUAGGUGAGUCUUUAAUAUAAUAGAUAACCCAGGAUGAAAUAGAGUAAGUAGUUGCUUAACUUACCUUGGCGUGAAUGAAUCCAUUGUUAAUAUAAUAAUUACUUCAUUUUAGCCAGUCACCUUUAAAGAAUGUUUUUUGCUUUUGGUAGUCAGAAGUGGUGAAAUCUAUUUGUUGGCUUUAACAUAGGGUUCUUCAUAUUGUGAUUAGUAUCAGUGGCUGAUACACAGCACACCUUAACCACGAGCUUCAAAUUUAUUCUGUGGUAUUUAUAUAUUAUUCACUUUAUGUAGUGUAUAGCUUGAAGUAGGGCUUCAUGAACAGCAGCUUGUACCACAUACUUACUCCAGAAACACUAAUAACAAUGUUGAAUUGGAUACAGAAGUGUCAAUAUUUAGAUUGUAUGUAAAUAUGUUUCUGUGAAAUAUGCAGGAUGUGUUAUAUUUACAUGUUAUUUACAUUGGAUGUUUCAAUAUUGUGAGAGAGGAAACUGCUAAGCACUGACAUAAUGAACACAUAAAAUUAACAGUAAUCUAGCAUUUAGUGUGAUUGUAACUGGAAGUGAUGGAGAUAAUACAGAGUAACCUCGGGGGCACAAGGGGCACAAGAGCACAGUCAAAGACAUUUGUAUGGAUGCAUUUGAGGGCACUUCUUGCAGAAUGGAUACUGAGAAACUUGAAAAAUAUGGCUCCAGAUUUUUUCCAAAUCCAUUCUGUUCCUAUCAGCCCUUGCAGAGAUUUUAGAGGAUCAAACAGCAUAUAGCAAUAAUUUCUUAAGCUUAUUUCAUAGUAUUCUUUUUUCUUCUUUUGGUAACAUGAUCUGCUGUGUCUGCCUGCCUGGUGAGGACCCUGAAGGAAAACAUCAGGCAUGGCUGUACUGUCUUGCAACUCUUGUGUGAACUUGUACUGUAUAUUGAGCAAUAGUCUGCAAAAAGAAAAGGCUGCAUUUAUCUAAAUAAAGUGGGCUUUCUGUACCAGGCUGCAAUAGUAAAGUUUGUCUGCAUGAAGACACAAGGCUCUGGAGACACCUUUACCCCGGCUCCUGGCUCUGGGGACACCUUUAACUGCAGCUCCUGGCUCUGGAGACACCUUUACCCCAGCUCCUGGCUCUGGAGACACCUUUACCCCAGCUCCUGGCUCUGGAGACACCUUUACCCCGGCUCCUGGCUCUGGAGACACCUUUACCCCGGCUCCUGGCUCUGGAGACACCUUUACCCCGGCUCCUGGUUCUGGAGACACCUUUACCCCGGCUCCUGGUUCUGGAGACACCUUUAACUGCAGCUCCUGGCUCUGGAGACACCUUUACCCCGGCUCCUGGCUCUGGAGACACCUUUACCCCGGCUCCUGGCUCUGGAGACACCUUUACCUCGGCUCCUGGCCCUGGACACACUCCCAGCGCAGCUCUUCCCCCGCGGGUGUCCCGCGCCCGCCCCGCGGUGCUCGGGGGACACCUGGUGGUGGCUGUGCCGCAGCGCGCCCGCCCCGGCCGGGCCCCGCACGCCCCUUGGCUCGCCGUGGGAAACUGCUGGUGCUGCUUGGCAAUGAAAACCCAUCCAGCACUCGGGUGUGUCUGAGUAAAGCUUUCAGUCAGCCCUAAGACUCUGUGCUGUGCAAUCCUGUCUGAGAGGAAAAGGGCAAGCAUGUACAUGGCCUUGAAUUUAAUGGAAAGAGGACAGCUCUUGUGCCUAUUGCUCAUUUAGAGUGGGAUUCUCCUGUGAAGCAAGACCUUGUUGGGAAGAAUGUGUCCAUGUAACAGAAGAAUUUCUCAGUACAUGAACAGGGGACAAGAUUACUGUUGAAUUGCCUAAUUUGGAUAAUCUCCAUUUUCUUGGUACUUAAAUUUAAAAUCUAUUAAUAUCUAAUAAUAUGAUAUGUAAUUUUGAAAAAUUAAAUAGGAAAAAAAGAUAAAAAAUAAACAUGUAGUGUUCAUGGAUGCCUCCCGAGGGCAUUUAAGUUUGAUGAAAUGAAUCUUAGACAGUUGCCUGACAUCUGAGCCCCUACACUGCCAAAGUAAGUGGACAUCCACUUUGGUGACCAGCAGAAAAGGACAAAACAUUUUUGACUUUUCAGUUUCACAGCUAAGAAUUGGGAAUCUCAGGUUCUUCACAGUUUUUGUAGAACUAAAACUGUGUGUUCCACAGACACUGAGCUCCUGUCAUGAUCUCUUGGAACACCUAGAUUUCCAGUUCCCAUCUCCACUCCUAAGGCUGCUCUUCCUAAUACUAUUUUAGCUUUCUGAUUCAGUUUAAAAAUAAUUUUCUCCACUUCAUCCCUGCCCACCCCCUUUAGCCCUGGUCUCUUCCCUGAUCCAGUUUGCCACAAAGAUUCACUGAAGUUACAUGGACAUCAUUACGGAGAAAAUAUAGAAAUGAAACAAGUGAGAAGGGACGAGCCCAAAACAGGCAAACUUCUAGCAAAUGUGGCAAGUCAUACUCAGCAAAAAAAGUUCCAGGUUGGCACAUCCAGUGCUGUGGCUAUCCUCAGGUUUUGAUUGCCUGGGACAGUGGGGAGCAUACACCAUGAAGGGCAGUUCCUCCAAGCUGCACAACAGCUUUCUAUUGGAAGACAUCCUUCAAGGGGCACCAUUCAUUCAUUAGCUUUGUGUGACAACCUGUGCACACCCCACUGUCCUCUGAUACUGAAAUUCCAACUCUCCUUACUGCCUCAUGACAUAUCCACUGCACAUGGGGCAGUUGGAAGGCCUUGACCCGCAACAACUUAGGACAUAACUGUUUACCUUUGCCAACAGAACAUUAAAAAAUCUUAAUUACAGUAGCUUAAGGACCUUUCCAAGAAGAAAAAUACUCAGUGAAAACAGGUAUCCCGAAUCUGGCAUGCAGGACAUAAAAAGCUGCCAAUGACUGGAAAUGAGUUGUUCUGGCCUCUUCUGGAAGGGAUGAGAGGACAGCAGGUUAAAAAGUCUGGAUAUCAUUUGCCUAAACCACUUAAGUUCAUGAAGAAAGUGAGGGAAUUAGCUGAAUGUCAAGAGACUUUCUCCUUAUGACACAGGCAUAGUGCAGAUGAACAAAUGACCAUCUCAUCAUCAUGACAAGCAGCCCCUGCACACAUCUCUGAUUUUGCUGUACAUUGUGAAAUGAUUUAGCUGACUCAGCAGGGAGAAAAUUUUUUUGAGUUCUCCAUGUUUAAGUUGUUCCUAUGUUGAUUGUGAUGUAGCAAAUUGUGUGUUGACUGUCAGCCAUUUGCCUCAUGGGUGAGGGAAAAAUCAGUAGAGAUAGUUUGCACUUAAACGAUUAAAAUGCUUCUAUUUAGUACACUAAAUCCUAUGCAUUUCUGAAAUCCUACUGAAACAUACCUAUAAUCUAAAAUUCACACUGGUUGAAAAGUUUGCAUAGUGCAUCCUCUGCUGUUACCAGGCCAGAGCACCACAGUGAUGCCCCUUUCAGCUCCCUAAGCAAGUCAUAAUUUUGCAGCCUUUGAUCCACUUUACCAUUUAUGUUGGGGGGGUGUGUGUUUUGCAGCUUGUGGUAGGAGCCCAGAGUGUGUGUUCCUGUGAUCCCUUCUUGACCUUUUGCCACUGGAGAAAUCUUCCAUGAUUUGUUAAGCUUAUGUUGCUCACUGUGUCACGCUAAGGAUGCCACUCUCUUGCCUUCAGCUGUAACAAAGUAUAUUUAGGAAAAGAGCUGGCUAUUUGUAGACUAAGAUGUUAUUCCUUCUGCCAGUGAGUUAGGGCCGGACUUUUGUUUCCAGACAUUGUGUUUCAUAGCCAACAAUGGAUCUCGAGUCAGUUUGUCUAAUCCUCCUUGUAAGUUAUAUUUAGGGUCUGUAACAUCACGUAUUAAUAAUUCUACGACUUAGCUGUACAUACUUUUAAUGGAAAACUGUAUCAUUGGCUGCCAUCCAGUUCUUGUGCGAGACUGAAACAAAAAUCAUUACCCACACACCUUUUCCCCAUCAUUGAUGGAGGUUCUGUAGACUUGCAUUAACAGCCAAGCCGAAGAGCCAGGGUUACCCAGCCUCCCGAAACGCAAUUACAGGGGACUGGGAUCAGGAGGCCGAUCAGCCAGUCCUGUCCUACACACAAACGAGAAGCCCGCUGCAAACAGCAGGCACAUCCCGCAGCGCAGAGAUGCCUCUGAGGAGGAUCGGUGCCCGUGGUACGUGUGGUGACAGAGCACUGCUCCGGCCGCCGCGGAACGUCCACCCGGGCCGUACCACCGGCGGGUCUGCCCCUCGCAGCCGCCGCGCCCGGGCUCCGUCCCUAACACACCCGGGCAUGGCCGGCGGCCGCGGUAGCGCCGGGAAGCGGCCCGGCCCGGCCCGCUCCGGCCCCCGGCCCGCGGCCCGCGGCUGGGGAGCGCGGGAGCCCCGGCACCGGCGGGCAGAGCCCCGG